GAUGAACGCUGGCGGCGUGCUUAACACAUGCAAGUCGAACGAUGAAGCCCAGCUUGCUGGGUGGAUUAGUGGCGAACGGGUGAGUAACACGUGAGUAACCUGCCCUUAACUCUGGGAUAAGCCUGGGAAACUGGGUCUAAUACCGGAUAGGAGCGCCUACCGCAUGGUGGGUGUUGGAGAGAUUUAUCGGUUUUGGAUGGACUCGCGGCCUAUCAGCUUGUUGGUGAGGUAAUGGCUCACCAAGGCGACGACGGGUAGCCGGCCUGAGAGGGUGACCGGCCACACUGGGACUGAGACACGGCCCAGACUCCUACGGGAGGCAGCAGUGGGGAAUAUUGCACAAUGGGCGAAAGCCUGAUGCAGCGACGCCGCGUGAGGGAUGACGGCCUUCGGGUUGUAAACCUCUUUCAGUAGGGAAGAAGCGAAAGUGACGGUACCUGCAGAAGAAGCACCGGCUAACUACGUG
rnacentral:rRNA from 1 species